GAGAGGAAUAUUGGUCAAUGGGCGGGAGCCUGAACCAGCCAAGUCGCGUGAAGGAAGAAGGAUCUAUGGUUCGUAAACUUCUUUUGCAGGGGAAUAAAGUGAAGGACGUGUCCUGUUUUGUAUGUACCCUGAGAAUAAGGAUCGGCUAACUCCGUGCCAGCAGCCGCGGUAAUACGGAGGAUCCGAGCGUUAUCCGGAUUUAUUGGGUUUAAAGGGUGCGGAGGUGGUUUGAUAAGUCAGCGGUGAAAGUUUUCAGCUUAAAUGUAGAAAUAGCGUUGAAACUGUCGGACUUGAGUGUAAAUGAGGUAGGCGGAAUGCGUGGUGUAGCGGUGAAAUGCAUAGAUAUCACGCAGAACUCCGAUUGCGAAGGCAGCUUACUAAGCUACAACUGACACUGAAGCACGAAAGCGUGGGGAUCAAACAGGAUUAGAUACCCUAGUAGUCC
rnacentral:rRNA from 1 species